rnacentral:rRNA from 1 species
GGAUGGGCAUGCGGCGCAUUAGCUAGUCGGCGGGGUAACGGCCCACCGAGGCGACGAUGCGUAGGGGUUCCGAGAGGAAGGUCCCCCACACUGGUACUGAGACACGGACCAGACUCCUACGGGAGGCAGCAGUGAGGAAUAUUGGUCAAUGGGAGAGAUCCUGAACCAGCCAAGCCGCGUGAGGGAAGACGGCCCUAUGGGUUGUAAACCUCUUUUGUCGGAGAACAAAACCCGGGACGAGUCCCGGACUGCGUGUAUCCGAAGAAAAAGUAUCGGCUAACUCCGUGCCAGCAGCCGCGGUAAUACGGAGGAUGCGAGCGUUAUCCGGAUUUAUUGGGUUUAAAGGGUGCGUAGGCGAUCCGUUAAGUCAGCGGUAAAAUUGCGGGGCUCAACCCCGUCGAGCCGUUGAAACUGGCAGACUUGAGUUGGCGAGAAGUACGCGGAAUGCGCGGUGUAGCGGUGAAAUGCAUAGAUAUCGCGCAGAACUCCGAUUGCGAAGGCAGCGUACCGGCGCCAGACUGACGCUGAGGCACGAAGGCGUGGGGAUCGAACAGGAUUAGAUACCCUGGUAGUCCACGCAGUAAACGAUGAAUGCUGGUUGUCCG